UGAAGACCUAAUGUACAACAGUAUGACUACAGUUAAUAAUACUGUAUUGUAUACUUGAAAUUUGCUAAGAGGUAGAUAUUAAGAAAAGAAAAUGAUAACUAUAUGAGGUGAUAAUGUUAAGUAGCUUGAUUGUGGUGAAAAUUUCACAAUGUAUAUGUAUAUCAAACCAAUACAAUUAUAUACUUA